GAAUUGUUCUUGGGGUGCUGCUACACAUGGGUCAUUCUGACAUUGAAAGCACCCUGCAUAUCCAGAAAGGAAUCAAUCCA
rnacentral:lncRNA from 1 species